rnacentral:rRNA from 1 species
UACGUAGGGGGCAAGCGUUGUCCGGAUUUAUUGGGCGUAAAGCGCGCGCAGGCGGUCUACCAAGUUCGGAGUGACAGUUUCCGGCUUAACCGGAAAAGGUCUUCGAAAACUGGUGGACUUGAGGACUUGAGGGGGAGACGGAAUUCCGGGUGGAGCGGUGAAAUGCGUAGAGAUCCGGAGGAACCCCAGAGGCGAAGGCGGCGCCCUGGCCCGACACUGACGCUCAGACACGACAGCAUGGGGAGCGAACGGG